GACAGAGGGUGCAAACGUUGUUCGGAAUUACUGGGCGUAAAGCGCGUGUAGGCGGCCCUGCAAGUCGGGUGUGAAAUCCCACGGCUCAACCGUGGAAGUGCACUCGAAACUGCAGGGCUAGAGUCCUGGAGAGGAAGGUGGAAUGCUUGGUGUAGAGGUGAAAUUCGUAGAUAUCAAGCGGAACACCGGUGGCGAAGGCGGCCUUAGCUGGGACAGU
rnacentral:rRNA from 1 species